UCUGACCUCAAAUCAGGUAGGACUACCCGCUGAACUUAAGCAUAUCAAA
rnacentral:rRNA from 1 species